GGAAGAGGGAGAUUAGGAGGGGGAAGCAAGUGAAACAUUGUUGAGACAUGUAUCUCUCACAUGUAGACAUGUAUCUCUCACCUGUCCAGACUACAUUUUCUUUUCAUUAUAAGGUUUUCAUCGUUCAAGUUAACUUUUUAAGCAUUCUGCUUUCGAUGCAGAAGGAAAAUCUACAUUCGUCUCUUGCUGAAGAAGUCUUUAAUUGGCAGACUCAAAAUGUAAAAGUUUAGAAUAGUUUCUCGGAGAAAAUUGAUUCAAAGAUUAAUCCGGUAAUAAGGGUAUGUAGGUAUGUAGUAAGUUGACAUCAUUAUAUUCAUUCAACAAAUAAUACCACUAUGACAUUUGUUGGUAGUGCCUUUCAAUAUCUUUUUGCCUCAAUGAACAACAUUUUAUUUCAAAAAGUUCUUACUUUAUUUGUUUAUUGUAUAGGAAAAUAUGGUC
rnacentral:misc_RNA from 1 species